GGUAAGCUUUCACCAACCUUUGCUAGCAUUUAAUAAUUGCAAGAAAAUGUUCCCUCUUGAUCCAUAAGGGUAGUAGUUGUUGACUUUGCCGUCCCGCUGGGGACCUAACAUUGUACUAAGAAUUUAUUAGGAUCCGAUAUUUCCUCAUUGCAUAAAUCGGCACCAGCCGGUGAUGUACUUUCUGGGUCGGACACAUCUUUUUUUCUUCACCUAGCAUCAUCUUGUGUAUCUGGUUUUAGUUGUAAAAACUAAAAACUGUUUUAAGAGUCUUGUGGAUACAAGUUUGCAGAUCAAUCCCUCUAUCUCUACCUUAAAUCUUUGAACUCUGAUGUAUGGUUAUUGUCAUUUCAUUCCAAUGGUUUCAAGCUUGCUAAUUUCCAACUAUGUCGUGCUUUGUAAUCUUCAACUUAAAUGUCACCAUCCCCACAAUUUUAUCAUCUUUAAUUUGCUGAGCAUCGUUGCAGUUAGGAGAGGGUCAGAGGAAAAUUAAGGGUCUUUCCUGGGAGAAUAAUUUAUUCAGCAGGGGCGCCUCUCAAUUUGAAUUAGAAGAGAGCGUCAAUGCAAUGUAUGAUUUCUUCUGAUAAAAAAAGGUAAAGUCCAGGCGACAUGGGAAAUAAUUGUGGUUCUUUAUUUUAUAAUCCAAUUAUGGGGUGGUGGAGCAUCGUAGGCAGUUUGGUAUUUUAGCAAUCGCUCACCGACACACGCGGCACUUUUCUGAAUCAGCACUACUUGCUGUCGAGGUUCCAGAUUCUUUUCCAUGUAUUUCCACGAAAGUCACUCUCUUCUUCGACAAGUAAAUUCCAAAAAAAAAAAACAAUUAUGACAGAAAGCUCGAAGGUCAUGGGAAGCUGAAACAUUGAUGAUAUGACCCCACGUAUCAUUAUGAUGAUGAACAAGAACUUCCAAUAGCAGACCACUGUUUUGAGCUGCAUGGGAUCAAUCCAAUCAAGCUAGGUGUAAUAUUAUGGUGCCAUUUUGCUUGUAAAUCCUGUUCUAGCCGGGAAAGUGGGUAUGUCCUGUACUAUUUUAAAAAACAAAAUAAGGUGAAGCGAAUUUUAUCCCUAAGAGGAGGAUCUCGAAUCAUUUUGAAUUUCUUGUUCAAAUUUCCAUUAAGAUAUCCUAGGUUUACCCGUUUUCAAAUAAUAUUUUAGCGAUUCAAAAUAAGGUUGUUGAAAGUUACAUCAAUGGAGAGAGGGAUGUUAAGGCUAGGGUUGACGCAAUGAACGGUGAGGAUUAGAUAAGGAGAAUGUGGAUGACUUGUGUUCUUUAGUCAAUUGAGGGAUUACAUUUGCAACGAAGGGUGUUAAACGGCAGCAUUUAGGCUAGUAGAGAAGACUUGGUCCAAGAUCAUGCUAGAUCUUUACAACUUAUCAGAAUCAGUCCAUUCCAAAUUCAAGUUUGAUGUUUGUUUUAUUUAUAGGCCAGGAAUAAAUCAUGAUAUUCUUAAACCAUAACCAAAUAUAUAUAUAUAUAUAUAUAUAUAUAUAUAUAUAUAAACAUCAAAGUAGGUUUAGAUUUAAAAUUUAUUGACUUUAAAUGAUAAAUAACAUUUUGUAGUUUUAUUCCUUUUAUUCUCGCUAUAGCCACCAGAAAAUUGAAACAUAAUGACAAAAUAUUCUAUCGGCGACUAAACACCAUUCCAUUAGCCAUUUAUAUUGCCAAAGUUAACAACAAAAACAUGUUGCCAAUCAAAGUUUUGUUGCAUAUUUGUUAUUUGUCGACGCUACAAAUUCUAGACAAAAAUACCGAUGAAAUAUUGGCUAAAAAUAAAAUAAAAUGCAGUGACUAGAUUUUAUCGAUUAUUCUAUCAGUAAAUCAAUUACCAGUUAAAUAUUCAGUCGUAAAUUCCAUCGGUGAAAUCUAACUAUUGCUAACAAAUUAAGCGACAAUAUUGGCAAAAAAAAUAUUCAUCAUUACACUCCAUCGGAGAUUCAAAAACUUCUUAAUCAUUCUGUAACUUUAUAAUGAAAUAGGGUUUCUAUUGUUGAUGGAAUCACUGAUGAUAUUUUUUGUCUGUAAGUGAAUCCAUCUGAAAAUUACUAUUUUUUUUAUAAUUGUUAAAUUAAAAACCAAUAAAAAUUACAAUGUUGUAACCCAUUUUUGGGUCCCCACAAAAAUAAUAAAUCAAUUUAAAAAAAAAAUAAAAAAAAAUAAAAAUCGGCAGGUUACUGUUCAUCUUCUUCCCCGAAAAAACUGCCCGAGUGGCUGCUUUCCAGGCGCAUUUUCCGGCUCGUGUGGCCCCAAAAUCCGACAAACCGUGCACCAACAUGUCCAACUAAAACCCCUAUAUCCCCUAGAAUUGUCCGCUCGAGCCUAUAAACACCAAAACAGCUCCGUUGAGUGGCUCAAAGUGGCCACCUCGGGCAGUUCACAGCCUUGAGCUGCCAAAUUUGGCAGCUCGAGGUGCACACUUUAAGCCAACGGUUGAGAUGCUUCCCAACUGAAUCAAGGGCUGAAAUUUUUCCCCAACGUAGACAAGAUUUCCCUCUUCCACAACCUAUAAAUAGAGUCGGAUUUGAUGAUCUGAGGGUUGAAAAAUUCAGGUCCAAAGUCAGCCAAAAACCAGCAUUUUCGCCCAAUUUCUGCAGAUUUUUCUUCUUCUUCUUUCUUCCUCUGCAACAGGAAACCGACGCCUCUUCCUCCAACUCCACCGCUGCAACCACCGGCAGAACCACCUCAUCGCAGCAGCCACAACCUCUUCGGCCAAGUGAGCCCCUCUUCCUUUCCUCCUCCUUCCUUUUCCUUUCCUCCUUUUUCUUCUUCUUCUUCUUCCUCCUUUUCUUCUUCUUCCUCCCUGUCUACUGUUCACUGCAUGAACAGUAGGCGUGAAAUAUAAUUCACGUCCUACUGUUCAUGCAGGACGUGAAUUAUAUAUAUAUGUGUGUGUGUGUAUUAUUAUAUUAUAUAUUAUAAUAUAUUAUAUUAUAUAUGUAUAUUUUUUCUUUAAAAAAAUAUAUUUUGAAAAAUCUUAAAAACUAUUGUUGAUUUUUCUGCAUGUUUUUGUCAAAGUGGUUUAAUGUUGGUUUGUAUUUUUAUACCGUAAAGAUACAAAACCAGUGUUAAAAAUACCCGGUUUUCGUCAAAAUAUCAAAGAUUUUCAGAAUAAAAAAUGUUUUUGCUUUCAAAAAAAUUCUAAAAAGUCCCUAAAAAUGUUGUUGAUUUUUCUGCAUAUUUUUAUCAAAGUUGAUUAAUAUUGGGUUGUAUUUUUAUACCGUAAGAAUACAAACCCAGUAUUAAAAUACCCGAUUUUUGUUAAAGCAUCAAAAAAUAAAUAUUUUCCAAAAAAGGGUUUUGUUUUCAUGCAUACGGCCUAGUCUCUCCAAUAUAUAUAUAUAUAUAAAUAUUAUAACAUCAUAUUUUCACACAACAAAGAAAAUUUUCAAAACAAUAUAUGUAUUAGCAUGCAUUUUGGCUUUAAUAACCAGUUUAUUUAAGCCAUGAGAACUAGGCCAAUAUUUCAAAAAUUCAAAAUUUUUUUUUUUUGUUUUCUUUUAGUAUUUGGGAUUACGAAUUUAUACGUAAAACGUAUUCCUAAAUAUUAUUAAUGAAAUUUUGGUAUGGACGUUAGAACGGUUAGGAUUUUACCCGAUAAGAUAAAGCCUUUCUUACCGAGGAGGAUUUUUCUUGAACCAUAGACAGACCAACAACUAGGAAAACACGAAAAUACCUUAGUUUUUAUCAGACAAUAAAACAAUGCAGCUUACCUUAGGUAGGGCGUAUUUGGGGUGCUAAUACCUUUCCUUUACGCAACCAGUCCCCGUACCCGAUCUCUGAGACCAGUUAGGGUUCGUAGUGACCAAAAUACUAGGUGGCGACUCCCAUUCCAUUUUCUACCAAUAAAAGACAAUAUUUUUGUUGUAUCCCCAUAGAUAUAGAUAGAUUUACAUUAUAGAUUAAGAAAAUGGAAAAACUAUGUUAUUUUCGCCGCGACGCCGCACACUUGCGACACACAAUAAAACCAAAUAUUAUCAAUUUUAUUGAACAUCAAAAUUUUAUUAAUUUUAAUUUUACAACAAUAUAUACACCGCUACACAGAUGGAGGUGGAGGGAAGUAAAAUCAUGAGCCAAAAGAACUAGAAUGAGGAGCAUGAUAAUGUUUGAAUCUCUUAAAGAAGGGACUCCAAUUCUACAGCCUAAAGUGGAUGAGCCUCGAUUGAUAUUAUGUGAAUUAGGUGUCUCUUCAUCAUUGACACCUAAAUUAAUAACAUGAUUAUUGACAUCACCAAAACUAUUAUUGGUUGAAUCAACAACAACAAUAGAUCUCUUUAAAAAUUUUCUCGGUAUCUCUAAAUAUUAUAUGAGUUAAUUUUCAAUUUCAAUAUAAUAAAUCUACAUUCUACGUUGAAUAAUGGAGUGCACAUCCCAAAAUAAUCUACAUUUUAAAAAUGCACUUUCUAAGUCUAAAAAGCCAUUCCAAUUAUUCAAUACUUUAUACUACUAUCAUCAUCAUCAUCAUCAUCAUCAUCUAGGGCUUAAACAUUUAAUAUAACAAUUAUGUUUAGGUUUAUAACAACAACAAUAAUAAAAUGAAUUAUAUUAAUUGUAAAAAAAAAAUACAUAAAAAUAUCAAAAUAAAUAUUAAAAUUAUAGAAUCGCGAUUAAAUUUUAUUAUAAUGCACAACACAAUUGCCAACAACAAUAAUAAUUACUCAAAUUUUAGUAUGUUUAUUGUAGGAAAAAUGCACACACAACAAUAACAAUAAUAAUUACAAAUAAUUUAAUGCACAACACAAAAUUAAAAGCAUACACAUGCAAUAAUAAUAUUCUCUUGGCAACUACAAACACUUUAGAGACUGAGAGACUUACCUUAAAGAGAUUGAGAAUGGGCGAUGGAGAGAGAGAGAGAGAGAGAGAGAGAGAGAGAGGGGGGGGGGGCAACAACUUUUGGGAUAAUUAUAGCAACAAAGAUGAAAAUGAAAGAAAAAAUGAUCAAAUUAUAACCUAGAAUCACCAAUGGAAAUUUCAUUGUCGAUUUCGUCCACAUAUUAACAUGUUAACAUAUGUCGACAUAAUCACUAAUGGAUAAUUAAUUAUUAUUUUUUAAUAUUUUUCAAUUACGUUGGCAAUUUUGUUGCCAUUUUUAAAACCUAUAAGACAUUUUUGACAAAACACAUUUAUUAGUGAUUCCAUCACCAUUUCUUAAAUCUCCUAGAAUUUUUCAAUAAAAUUGCACAUCCAUUGCUAAAACCUUUUGGAAUAUUUGAUGAAAUUGCAUGUCUAUUGGUGAUUUCUUCACCGUGCACAAUUCCAUUAGCGAUUCCAUCACUAUUUUUGUUUUAAUUUUUUUUUUCUUGUUAUAGUAUCUUAGCCAACCUAAAUACACAAUAACAACAAUACCAAGCAUUUUAAAGCCAUCAAUUGCCAACAUUAAACCCAAAACCACAACAAAUAUAAAAAAUACAAUGCAUUAUAGAGUUGCAACAAAUUUAUAUGAUGAUUGUAUUACAUCUAAAUCAAUGUAAUAUCGUUUGAUUAGAAUCCUCCUUUUCAUUUUUAUCAUCUUCUUUGUUGAAUCCAAAGGUUGUUGAUCUCAUCAUCUUCCUCUACAUCAUUAUGUCUACUAAUAAUCAAAAUAUCAUUUCACUCGUCAACAUCAAUAUAAGUAUUCUCAACAACAUGAAAAUUUAUAUUUUCUAACUUAGUAGAAGGAGAAACUCGAUAUAAAUUAACUAUAUCAUCUAUUUGACAUACAUCAUCUCACUUAGAUACUUCAUUGUUAUCAUCUUCAAUUACUUCAGCUUUAAGGAGAAUGCUAAGUUUAGUUUUCACAAUGAAAAACCAAUCAACUCUAUUAUGAUCAUUUUCAAAUAAAGGAGUGUAUGUAUAAUACACUUGUUACCAUUGCUUAGAAAAAAUAAAAACAUCAUUGAUGUUGCAUAAUCGAUCUCUUUUAUUUACUUUGACCAUACCAUGUCGAGGAUCUACGCUAAUUCCUCUAUCGAUACCAUACAACUAGCAUGUUUAAAUAAAGCUAUUAUAUAUUGUUCACUAUGAUAUCACAAUUCAAUAACCUUUUAUAACAUGCCAUAAUAAUUGACUUCAAUUUUACUAGAAGUUGAACCCUUGACACAAACCCCAGUAUCAAAGCAUCUCCAAUGAGAGAUGCUAUUUAGAAGAGCCAAAUUGGUAAAAUGACUUUUUAAAUAGUGUAAAUAUAGCUUUUUUUUUCUUUUUUUGCUUAUGUGCACUCCAAUUGUAAAAAAACCAUUUAGAAGAGAAAAUUGUAUUUUAAUAUAUUUGAUACACAACUAUUUUAACAACAUGAUAUGAUUCAAUUGACUUGACAAGUCUAAAAAUAACCCGAACAAUUCUCAAUCAACUCAAUAUUAAAGAAUGAAAUUGAAAAGAAAAGAAAAAACAAAAAAUAACUCGAGUAAAUCUAGGUGAACUCGCAAAAAUCAUGAUACGGAUCAUGAGAUCAUGAUAAUCUAAUAAAAAACAAACUAAAAAAACAUAGAUGUAAAAAAAAAUCAAAGGAAAAAAAAACUAGUGCAAGAAAAAAUAUUAUUACAAUGAAUAGUGAUUUAGCAUUUUAAUUUACAAGAUAUGUAGGAAUAGUAUUUUUUAGAGAAAUGCUAACAAAAAAAAAAUAGCACUCUCUUUGGAGCAUGUAAAAUAAGCAUUAAAAAGCCUAUAUAUAUAUAUAUAUAUGUCUUUCCUUUUAGCAUCUAUAUUGGAGAUGCUAUUAUAUGUUUUUUGACCCUCACCUUACUCUAGUAUGAAAGAUAUAUUCAUUGAUGAAUUAUACAUUAUAACACUAAACCUUUCUUUGAGGACCUAGAGAAAGGAAUUUCAGUUGACUAGCAUUGCCUCUAAUUUGAAAGCCUGGUUAACGUCAAUUAAUGACCAUUAAUGGUUAGAGUCAAAACAUAAAUAAAUCUUUUCUUGUGAGUUAUGAAUUAUUAAAUACUUCCAUGUAUUUUAAACCACGUGGAGAAUUUUUCAUCAUGUAAUUGGAAAGUUUGAGCUUAAAUUUCCAUGGCCUGACCUCUUAGUCAUAAAAAUAACCUUAACAUCUUCACAUUUUUACUAAACAAAAGGAAAACUUAUAGUUACUAAAGUGUUAAAUUUGUUUCUUCCAACAGACACCAAUUAUAGAAAUUGCAAUAAAAGAUCACUCUUGAUCACAAUGAUCAAGAUAUAAAAUGUAUUUAAUUGUUUCUUCCCUCAUUCAUACAACAUAAUCCUAAGAGAAUUCCAAGGGUUAGAUUUCAGGUAUAAAGGAAUGAGGGGCAUUGAUGUAAUUGCAUAACCAAUUGACAAGUAUAAAUAGGAUGGGUUAAACAAAAAAAGAAGAAGAGAGAAUAUGAAAUUAGAGAGAGAAAACCAAAAUGAGAGAAAGAAAGAAAAAAGAAGAAAUAAAGUAAAGGGAAAAGGAUUGGAGAAACUAAAUGUUUAAGGUAAGAUUUAUGUUUUAAUGUGUAAUUAUUGUAAUUAGCUUUGAUUUUGGUUUUGUUAAGGUUUAGGGUUUUGAAUUUUAAGUUUUAGGGUUAGAUUUAUGCAUUAAUUGAAGUGUUAUAGGUUAAGUUUUAUGUGUUAAACUGUUAUGGGUUGAAUAUGUUGGGUUUUAAGUUAGAAUUUAAAAUGUGUCAUUAUUAAGAGACUAGUGGAUUAUGAAUCUAAAAUCCUGAUCAAUUGGCUAACCAGUAGGCUAUUGACUUUAGUCGAUUGGUUGGUGAAUUUCAUUUGAUUUGCCUGACUAGGUUCGGUCGACUUGUUGGUAGAUUUUGGUCGACUAGUGGAUCAAACCCUGAGGGUUGAUCGGCUCUUUUUGGUUCAAAAGUUUAGGAAAUGUUUGAGAUCGGUCAGGUAUAUAUGUUUCGCUUUUAUAUUUAUGUUUGGUCUCAAAUCUUAUAGAUGUAAUCUCUUAUGUUUUAUGUUUCGAGUCAUUUUUUAGUACAUUUUCUUUUUUAUAUUCAGAUACUCUUAAUACUCUACCUGUUGGGCAUCAAUAGGACUUCCAUUGAUAUCUGCUUUUGAGUCCUAACUACUUUUGUGUCAGGUGAGUGAAUAAUAUUCCAUAUGCUAAAAGAGUAGUAUAAAUAUUUUAAUUAUUAAUAUAAAAUUCAUCAUGCUUCUUGGUAAGUUAUAUAUUGCUUAUUAUCACUUGUUUAUUAUAAAACAUGAUCAUUUUUUCAGACUAAUUUCUUGAUAUGAGCAAUUGUAUUCUUCUGAAUUGACAACUUCUCAUUUGAUUGAUUGUAUGGGUUGAGCUUUUAAGAAAUGAUUAUGUUUUAUUUAAUUAUGACCCUAUGAUAUGCUAUUCAGAAUACUCAUGCUAAUAUGAUAGUGUUACUAUUUGUGCACAUCAUAGUUCUAAACCUUAGUUAGUCGAUAGAGUCAUCAAAUUAUGGUGACUAAUUGUCCUAUAUUUUAGAGCAUCAUGCUCCUUGCAUUUUGAUUUUCUGACAAACCAUAUGAUAUUUCUUGUUAUGAUCUCUUUGUAAAACUCUCUGAUAAAAGCAUAAGCCAAACUUGUGAAUAUAUAUUCCUCAUUAAUGUAUUACUUUAUAUGUGUAUAUUGAACGUUAUCUACUCAAUGAGUUGUUGAACUCAUCCUCUUGUUAUUUAUUAUUUUUAGACUUAUAGCUUCGUUAAUAGGUCGCUUUUGUGGACUUUUAGAACCUUCUCUUUGUUGCAAUUAACAUUAUUCUGUUAUGUCUGGUUAGAGCUCUACAAUUACAUAAUUUGUAUUAACUUUUGUAUAAAGACGUUGAUUUAUAUUGUUAUCAUUGUUUCGUUGCUCUAAUUGAGUUAAUAGAAAGAGAAGUUUGUAUGUAUGCUUGGGUUUGCAUAGGUAAAGAACCUGGUGGGGGCCUUGUCUAUGUGUCGGUCAUGGGUCCAAGGUUCGGGUCAUGAUAAUGGACUUCCUAAAAAAAACAUGAUUUAUAAUCAAUUAUAUAAAAAAAGAGUGUUCUAUUAUUAAGACUCUUCUAAUUAGUUUUCAUUUACUAGAAAAUGCAAACUUUCUUUCUGCACUUUUUACCAGGUGAGGUGCUUCCGGUCUAAUAACCCGAGUUACAGGUUUAGAAAAUUAACGUUGGUUAAUAAUUUGUUUUUCUACUUAUUUUCUUUUCUGAUUUCAUUAUUUGACAUUGAUUUUUUAAAAAAUAAGCUUUAUAAUUUUCUUUAUUUUUUUCUAUUAGAUUAUUUUAUUUUCAUAACCUAAUCUAUAAAUUUAAUAUAUUAUCCUGGGUUGACUCAAUCAUUUUAUGACCCCGCAGUGCAACAACUAUUUGAAGGUUUUUUUUUUUUUUCCAACUGGUAAAGUUAUGUUAGAGUUAGUUUAUACAUUAACUGACCCUAAAUCUUAUAAAUCUUUUCUCGAGAGAUCUUAAAAACAUAUCCUCUGCAUCAAUCCUAGUAUAUUUAAUAAAUUUCAGUAAAUGUUUGUCUUAAAAUUUGGCGCAGAACAAAUAGUUAGAGUUGCUAUAUGAAGUAGUGAAAUGGUAAUAAUAAUAUGACAGACUUCUACUCUUUCUCCAUUGAUCAAUGAAUUAAUUCAUUCAUAAGAAAAGAUAAAUUCAUGUAGGUGCGAUAGAUCUAUGGGUCAUCUUCAGUGAGUUGUUAAGCUUUUACUCCCCACCCCCACUUGUACUGCUGUUCAUGCCAUAUAAGGCCAUUUCCACUACUCUACAAGCUUGAUAAUAAUGGAGAUCGCUAUGCGUACAGGCCUGAUUAAUUCAUUUACUAGCAUUACAAUGCUUUUGGUUUGCAUCUUCUUACUCUUUUUAUCACUAGCCUUUGCUGCACAAGACAGCAAAGUUGCGGGAUACAACCCUUUCCUUAGAAGGAUUUGAACCCAAAUCUCUUAUAGAUUGGAGUAAAGGGUGUGACAGAAGGAGUCCAUGGAAUUGCACACAGGACCACUUCCAGAAUUUUACAGGGCUUAAAAAACUGCAAUUGCACGGCAUAUGCAAAUUCAAAUAUCACAGGAGAAGGCAGUGGCUGCAUACUCUGGUUUGGUGAAUUGGUUGAUAUGAGAGAGUUCAGUACUGGGGGCCAAGACCUCUACAUAAGGAUGCCACCACCUUUGAAAACAGGUAUUUAUCAAUAUUCUUCCCAUGAUUCUCAAGCAGGGUAUUCUUUUAACUCUUUCUCUCUGUUUCUUUUUCUUCUUUUUUUUUGAAAUGAGGAAGUUGUAUGUUCCUUAAAUGUUUUCCUAACUUCGUGUCCUCAAUUCCUCAUUCUAUUUACAAAUACAACAGAACUCCUUUCUGUGUUUAUUGUGGGUUUUCAGAUCAGACGACGUCAAACACAAAUUCUGGUAAGAAGAAGCUUUUAGGAAUCAUACUCGGUUCCACAGUCCAUGCUGGAGUGCUUAUGGGAGGAAUAGCCUUCUAUAUAUGGAGAAAGAAGCAGAGAAAGCAAGGUAGUGUACUUUAGACAAUUCUUCUUAUUCCAGAACAUGGACCUUGUUGAUAUAUAUAGUAUGCAUGAUAGAUUACUAAUAUUGUAGAAUUUUAUGUUUAACAUCGAUAACAAAAUGAAGCAUUUGUUAGAUCAUGUUAUUAGUCAAAUUAGCUUUGAGAAGGAGAAGCUGUUCGUUUAUCAUUACUGACAACUAAUCAAUCUUCUGCUAUUCAGAAAUAGAGGAAGACAUGGAGUUACCAUCGUUUCAUUUGGCCACCAUAGUGAAAGCAACGGAUAACUUUUCAAGCAACAAGUUGGGACAAGGUGGUUUUGGACCGGUAUAUAAGGUAUAUAACAACGUGCUUCAAAGCUGAGAGAUCAUCUACUAUGAGAUAUUCUAACUUCAGUAAAUAACGAUUGCCAGGGUACAUUGAUUGAUGUGCAAGAAAUAGCAGUGAAAAUAAAAACACAAUUAAAUUCUGAGGGGAUAAAAUUGAGAUUGCGAUUAAAUUCUGCAAAUGCUAUAACAUUAGACGAUUUUUUUUUAAUUUUUUAAAAUAAAGCACAAUUAAAUAAAUAAAAAUUAUUUCUUUUAACCGGAUCCGAUCCGGUUCAAUACAUUUAGCUUUGACCUAGAACUAUAUUUUUCACAUUGUUUUAAAUUUAGCUCUACCGAAGCGUGCGCGUAGGACAUCCUUAUUCUUCAACUCUACAAUUACUUGAAAAUAAAGGAUUGAUUAAUGUCAUUGAAGUUAUGAAAUCUAAACACCUCUAUGAUAAUUAUCAAUUAGAAAAGCUUAGUCGAUAACAUUUUUCUAGUUCUGAACAUUCAAAUACCUCUAUGAUAAUUCUACUAUAUAUUAAGAAAAUUAGUUUAAAGUUAUUUUUAGUUCAAGAUUGUAUUUUAAUAAAUAUAAAAUACAAAAAGUUUACUCUAAUAUCGACUUAAUUCAUAUCAAAGUCCUUUAAAUUUUUAAAAAGUGUAUUUGAAUAUAUAGAGUAAAUUAUGUUUCAUUUAUGUUCUUAUUACUAUUUUUUUAAUUCAAUCCAUAAUUUCUAAAUAAAAAUGUCAAAUCACGUGAUAUAAUUUUUAUUACUUUAUUAAGUGGAGUGUAAUUAAGAAUCAUAAAUGAAUAUGCAUUGAGUAUACAAAAUAUCUUAUAUAUGCAUUUUUUAAAAUAUUUUGCUUUAUUAGAAUUCUGUUACCCAAGACCUGUUAAGUCUUUUAUGAAAAACUUACAGAUAAAAAAAAACACCCUUCUGUAAAUUUGUCAAAGGUGGGUUAAGGGUAAGCUUCCACCAACCUUUGCUAGCAUUUAAUAAUUGCAAGAAAAUGUUCCCUCUUGAUCCAAAAGAGUAGUAGUUGUUGACUUUGCCGUCCCGCUGGGGACCUAACAUUGUACUAAGAAUUUAUUAGGAUCCGAUAUUUCCAAAGCUCGAAGGUCAUGGGAAGCUGAAACAUUGAUGAUAUGACCCCACGUAUCAUUAUGAUGAUGAACAAGAACUUCCAAUAGCAGACCACUGUUUUGAGCUUUAAAUGAUAAAUAACAUUUUGUAGUUUUAUUCCUUUUAUUCUCUAUAUCAUCACCAUAAA
rnacentral:lncRNA from 1 species